UCCCUUUCGGGAUGAGUGUAAUAAAUGUAGCGUUCAUUUGUCACAGCAGCUGCCCAGAUUGGAAGAACUCUUGGACAGCGGCCACAACAUCUGAACCAACUACAUCCCACGCAUCACGAAAGAAAGUGGCCGUGUACCCAUCCGGCCCAGGGGCUUUGUCUCCGUUCAUUCUCCACACCACCUCCUUAAUCUCCUCGGCUGUAAUAGGUGCAACAAGUUCUUGAGCCUGCUGAUCAGACAGCACGGAUCCCCACUCGAACACACUAUCAUCAAUCUCAUCACACUGGCCUGCAGUACCCAACAAGUCUCUGUAAUACGUAAGGAAUUCAUCAACCACCUCAUCGCGGGAAGAAGUGCGCCCGGAUUCGGUGCGUAUGGAUGAGAUGAUGUUCCUCACACUAUUUGACUUGAUCUUCUUAUAGAAAAACUUUGUGGGUUUAUCCUGAUUAAUCAAGUACUCACCCCUAGUCAUCUGAGAAAAGAAAAGGUGUUCAGCGUGACAAAGGAAAUCAACUUUCUUUGCCGCCUCACGGACCCUCUCCCAUUUCUCAGCAUUACCCGGAUCUUCCUGGCUAUCCAUCUAGAGUCUAUCAAAUCGUUCGUGUAAUUUGGGUAUAGGGGCGAAAGACUAAUGGAACUGUCUAAUAGCUGGUUCCCUCCGAAGUUUCCCUCAGGAUAGCUGGAGCUCUAGUGCGAGUUCUAUCUGGUAAAGCCAAUGAUUAGUGGCAUCGGGGGCGCAACGUCCUCGACCUAUUCUCAAACUUUAAAUAGGUAGGUUGGUGCGGCUGCUCCGUUGAGCCCGCCAUAGAAUCGUGAGCUCCAAGUGAGUCAUUUUUGGUAAGCAGAACUGGCAAUGCGGGAUGAACUGGAAGCCGGGUUACGGUGCCCAACUACGCGCUAACCUAGAUCCCACAAAGGGUGUUGGUCGAUUAAGACAGCAGGAUGGUGGUCAUGGAAGUCGAAAUCCGCUAAGGAGUGUGUAACAACUCACCUGCCGAAUCAACUAGCCCCAAAAAUAGAUGGAGCUGAAGCACACGACCUAUACCCGGCCAUCGGGGCAAGGGCCAUGCCCCGAUGAGUAGGAGGGUACGACGGUCGCUACAAAACCCUGGGCGCGAGCCCGGGCGGAGCAGCCGUCGGUGCGGAUCUUGGUGGUAGUAGCAAAUAUUCAAAUGAGCACUUUGAAGGCCGAAGAGGGAAAAGGUUCCAUGUGAAUGACACGACACUUGCACAUGGGUUAGUCGAUCCUAAGGGUCGGGGAAAGCCCGACAGAUAGCGCAUUCAGCACGUGCUCCAAAAGGGAAUCGGGUUAAAAUUCCUGAACCUGGACGCGGAGGUUGAUGGCAAAGUUAGUGAGUCCGGAGACAUCGGCGGGGGCCUCGGGAAGAGUUAUCUUUUCUAAUUAACAGCCCACCCACCCUGGAAAUGGCUCAGCUGGAGGUAGGGUCCAGCGGCUGGAAGAGCACCACACGUCGCGUGGUAUCCGGUGCACCCCCGACGGCCCUUGAAAAUCCAGAGGACCAAGUACCGACCGCGCCCGUUCGUACACAUAACCACAUCAGCUCUCCAAGGUGAACAACCUCUAGUCGAUGGAACAAUGUAGGCAAGGGAAGUCGGAAAAAUGGAUCCGUAACCUUGGGAAAAGGAUUGGCUCUGAGGGCUGGGCAUGGGGUCCCAGUCCCGAACCUGUCGGCGAACUGCUCGAGCUGCUCGCGCGGCGAGAGCGGAUCAUCGCGUGCCGGCCGGGGGACAGACUGGGACAGCUCCCUCGGUGGCCUUACCACAGGGAUAACUAGCUUGUGGCAGCCAAGCGUUCAUAGCUACAUUGCUUUUUGAUCCUUCGAUGUCGGCUCUUCCUAUCAGUGUGAAGUAGAAUUCACCAAGUGUUGGAUUGUUCACCCACCAAUAGGGAACGUGAGCUGGGUUUAGACCGUUGUGAGACAGGUUAGUUUUACCUACUGAUGAUGGUGUUGCAAUAGUAAUUCAACCUAGUACGAGAGGAACUGUUUAUUCGCACAAUUGGUCAUCACGCUUGGUUGAAAAGCCAGUAGCGCGAAGCUACCGUGUGCUGGAUUAUGACUGAACGCCUCUAAGUCAGAAUCUGAGCUAAAUGCGAUGCAUGCACCCGCCAUCCACUCCCCGACCCACAGUAGGGGCCCCGGGACCCCAAGGGCACGUGUCGUUGGCCAAGCCCCCGCGGGAGACGAGCCGCGUGGGCUGCCUCAAAGUACAAUUCCAAUCGCACGAUGGGUAGAAUCCUUACAGACGACUUAAAUAUGCGACUGGGUAUUGUAAGCCCUUCGUCGCUUCGAUUCGUCCCCUCCUGAUGCCCCCCACAUAAAACC
rnacentral:rRNA from 1 species